rnacentral:rRNA from 1 species
CCUACGGGAGGCACCAGUGGGGAAUAUUGCACAAUGGGCGCAAGCCUGAUGCAGCCAUGCCGCGUGUGUGGAGAAGGCCUUCGGGUUGUAGAGCACUUUCAGCGGGGAGGAAGGCGGUGAGGUUAAUAACCUCAUCGAUUGACGUUACCCGCAGAAGAAGCACCGGCUAACUCCGUGCCAGCAGCCGCGGUAAUACGGAGGGUGCAAGCGUUAAUCGGAAUUACUGGGCGUAAAGCGCACGCAGGUGGUCUGUCAAGUCGGAUGUGAAAUCCCCGGGCUCAACCUGGGAGCUGCAUUCGAAACUGGCAGGCUAGAGUCUUGUAGAGGGGGGUAGAAUUCCAGGUGUAGCGGUGAAAUGCGUAGAGAUCUGGAGGAAUACCGGUGGCGAAGGCGGCCCCCUGGACAAAGACUGACGCUCAGGUGCGAAAGCGUGGGGAGCAAACGGGAUUAGAUACCCCGGUAGUC